rnacentral:rRNA from 1 species
AGGACACUCUGUACGGAGUUACAAAGGAACGAGGUAGAUGAAGAGGUCUGGAAAGGCCCGCCAUAGGAGGUAACAGCCCUGUAGUCAAAACUUCGUUCUCUCCUGAGUGGAUCCUGAGUACGGCGGAACACGUGAAAUUCCGUCGGAAUCCGGGAGGACCAUCUCCCAAGGCUAAAUACUCCCUAGUGACCGAUAGUGAACCAGUACCGUGAGGGAAAGGUGAAAAGCACCCCGGAAGGGGAGUGAAAGAGAUCCUGAAACCGUGUGCCUACAAGUAGUCAGAGCCCGUUAACGGGUGAUGGCGUGCCUUUUGUAGAAUGAACCGGCGAGUUACGAUCCCGUGCAAGGUUAAGCAGAAGAUGCGGAGCCGCAGCGAAAGCGAGUCUGAAUAGGGCGAAUUGAGUACGUGGUCGUAGACCCGAAACCAGGUGAUCUACCCAUGUCCAGGGUGAAGUUCAGGUAACACUGAAUGGAGGCCCGAACCCACGCACGUUGAAAAGUGCGGGGAUGAGGUGUGGGUAGGGGUGAAAUGCCAAUCGAACCUGGAGAUAGCUGGUUCUCUCCGAAAUAGCUUUAGGGCUAGCCUCAAGGUAAGAGUCUCGGAGGUAGAGCACUGAUUGGACUAGGGGCCCCUACCGGGUUACCGAAUUCAGUCAAACUCCGAAUGCCGAUGACUUAUCCUUGGGAGUCAGACUGCGAGUGAUAAGAUCCGUAGUCGAAAGGGAAACAGCCCAGACCGCCAGCUAAGGUCCCAAAGUAUACGUUAAGUGGAAAAGGAUGUGGAGUUGCUUAGACAACCAGGAUGUUGGCUUAGAAG